rnacentral:rRNA from 1 species
UACGGAGGAUCCGAGCGUUAUCCGGAUUUAUUGGGUUUAAAGGGUGCGUAGGCUGGUAAUUAAGUCAGUGGUGAAAUACUCCGGCUCAACCGGGGGGCGUGCCGUUGAUACUGGUUACCUUGAGUUUAGAUGAUGUGGGCGGAAUGUGUCAUGUAGCGGUGAAAUGCAUAGAGAUGACACAGAACACCGAUAGCGAAGGCAGCUCACAAAGCUAUUACUGACGCUGAUGCACGAAAGCGUGGGGAUCAAACAGGAUUA